rnacentral:rRNA from 1 species
AGAGUUUGAUCCUGGCUCAGGACGAACGCUGGCGGCGUGCCUAAUACAUGCAAGUCGAGCGAAUCUUUAGAAGCUUGCUCCUAAAGGUUAGCGGCGGACGGGUGAGUAACACGUGGGCAACCUGCCUGUAAGACUGGGAUAACUCCGGGAAACCGGAGCUAAUACCGGAUAAUCCUUUUCCUCUCAUGAGGGAAAGCUGAAAGACGGUUUCGGCUGUCACUUACAGAUGGGCCCGCGGCGCAUUAGCUAGUUGGUGAGGUAACGGCUCACCAAGGCGACGAUGCGUAGCCGACCUGAGAGGGUGAUCGGCCACACUGGGACUGAGACACGGCCCAGACUCCUACGGGAGGCAGCAGUAGGGAAUCUUCCGCAAUGGACGAAAGUCUGACGGAGCAACGCCGCGUGAACGAUGAAGGCCUUCGGGUCGUAAAGUUCUGUUGUUAGGGAAGAACAAGUACCGGAGUAACUGACGGUACCUUGACGGUACCUAACCAGAAAGCCACGGCUAACUACGUGCCAGCAGCCGCGGUAAUACGUAGGUGGCAAGCGUUGUCCGGAAUUAUUGGGCGUAAAGCGCGCGCAGGCGGUCCUUUAAGUCUGAUGUGAAAGCCCACGGCUCAACCGUGGAGGGUCAUUGGAAACUGGGGGACUUGAGUACAGAAGAGGAAAGUGGAAUUCCACGUGUAGCGGUGAAAUGCGUAGAGAUGUGGAGGAACACCAGUGGCGAAGGCGACUUUCUGGUCUGUAACUGACGCUGAGGCGCGAAAGCGUGGGGAGCAAACAGGAUUAGAUACCCUGGUAGUCCACGCCGUAAACGAUGAGUGCUAAGUGUUAGAGGGUUUCCGCCCUUUAGUGCUGCAGCUAACGCAUUAAGCACUCCGCCUGGGGAGUACGGCCGCAAGGCUGAAACUUAAAGGAAUUGACGG